UACAGAGGUGGCAAGCGUUGUUCGGAAUUACUGGGCGUAAAGGGCGCGUAGGCGGCCUCGCAAGUCCCGUGUGAAAUCCCUCGGCUCAACUGAGGAAUGGCACGGGAAACUGCGGGGCUUGAGUUCGGGAGAGGGAAGCGGAAUUCCGGGUGUAGCGGUGAAAUGCGUAGAUAUCCGGAGGAACACCGGUGGCGAAGGCGGCUUCCUGGCCCGAUACUGACGCUGAGGCACGAAAGCGUGGGGAGCAAACAGG
rnacentral:rRNA from 1 species